rnacentral:misc_RNA from 1 species
AGUGCCUUUGCACUCCUUGGAGACCUUGCAAGAGUGUGUGCUGUUCAUUUGCACCCUCGACUGCCUGAAUUUCUUGAUGUUGCAGCCAAACAACUGAACACUACCAAGCUUAAGGAAACUGUGUCAGUAGCAAAUAAUGCUUGUUGGGCUAUUGGAGAAUUAGCAGUUAAGGUUCAUCAAGAAAUUUCUCCUGUUGUUAUGACUGUCAUUUCAUGCUUAGUUCCAAUCCUUCAACAUUCAGAGGAGCUGAACAAAUCCCUCAUUGAAAAUAGUGCAAUCACUCUUGGGAGGCUUGCAUGGGUUUGUCCUGAACUUGUAUCACCACACAUGGAGCAUUUCAU